rnacentral:lncRNA from 1 species
UAGAAGAUGGAAGUGUAAAGUGGAACUACAAAAAAUUUUGCACAGAAAAUCAUCAUUCUGCUUUGGUGCAACUUUUCUAACUAAAUUACUGGAAGUGUGACUUGUAAUUUUCCAGAACUUCAGCCUCCUGAAUUUACCAUCACUACUUUGGAAAUUCAGAAUCUCUGCCCUUACAGAUAUUAAAGAAAAUGGAUACAUCCAUCCCAUGCUGUGAAUACAAAAUCUUUAGUUUGUGUUUUAGAACUGCCAAGAAUCAUGAAAAUUAGAAACAAUCAAAAUGCUCCUCAAGAUAUUUUCCUCCACAUAACAACUCCAGAAGUGUCCUGUGUCAUGCUCCAGGUAUCUGCUUGCUUAAUGAAACCCAAAGAUAAGGAGAUCUUAAAACGUGACCUGGCUCCACACGUGUUUAAGUGCAAUAUAAGUAAGUAGGUAAGUAUUAAAGAUGUGAAUACUGGCAAUAAUUGUUAGUGACACAAAUUGAGCUGUGGAACAGCUUUCUUGGGGAAAUGUUUUUUUCCCUUCUUUAUACUUUCAUAUUCCUGUAAUACUGUUUCAGAGAUUGGUGGAUACAUGGUCAACACAUUUGGAAAAAGUGAGAUAUAGGCAAAUAGAGAAAUAUCUAAAA